CAAUAGCGUAUAUUAAAGUUGUUGCAGUUAAAAAGCUCGUAGUUGGACCUUGGACCUGGACAGGCGGUCCGCCUCACGGCGUGUACUGUCUUGCUGGGUCUUUCCUCUUGGUGAUCUGUUGUUUCGGCAGCAGGGAACCAGGACUUUUACUUUGAAAAAAUUAGAGUGUUCAAAGCAGGCUCGACGCCGGAAUAUAUUAGCAUGGAAUAAUAAAAUAGGACGUGCGGUUCUAUUUUGUUGGUUUUUGGAAUCGCCGUAAUGAUUAAUAGGGACAGUCGGGGGCAUUAGUACUCACAUGCUAGAGGUGAAAUUCUUGGAUUUUGUGAAGACUAACCUCUGCGAAAGCAUUUGCCAAGGAUGUUUUCAUUAA
rnacentral:rRNA from 1 species